rnacentral:rRNA from 1 species
ACUCAAAGGAAUAGACGGGGGCCCGCACAAGCGGCGGAGCAUGCGGAUUAAUUCGAUGCAACGCGAAGAACCUUACCUAGGUUUGACAUAUACGAGAAGCCUCUAGAGAUAGAGGUCUCUUUGGACACUCGUAUACAGGUGGUGCAUGGCUGUCGUCAGCUCGUGUCGUGAGAUGUUGGGUUAAGUCCCGCAACGAGCGCAACCCUCGUCUUAUGUUGCCAGCACGUAAUGGUGGGGACUCAUAAGAGACUGCCGGGGUCAACUCGGAGGAAGGUGGGGAUGACGUCAAGUCAUCAUGCCCCUUAUGCCUAGGGCUUCACGCAUGCUACAAUGGCCGGUACAAAGGGCUGCGAUACCGCAAGGUGGAGCGAAUCCCAAAAAGCCGGUCUCAGUUCGGAUUGGGGUCUGCAACUCGACCCCAUGAAGUCGGAGUCGCUAGUAAUCGCAGAUCAGCAACGCUGCGGUGAAUACGUUCCCGGGCCUUGUACACACCGCCCGU